rnacentral:rRNA from 1 species
UUUUGGUUAAUAAUUUAAAGUCUAAUCUGCCCCCUGAUAAUAUAUUAAAGGGCUGCAGUAUUUUGACUGUACAAAGGUAGCAUAAUCAUUAGUCUCUUAAUUGGUGACUUGUAUGAAAGAUUUGAUGAGAUAUAUACUGUCUCUUUUUAAUUUAUAAAAUUUAAUUUUUUAGUUAAAAAGCUAAAAUAUAUUUAAAAGACGAGAAGACCCUAUAGAGUUUUAUAUUUAUAUAAAUUAAAAUUUUUUAUAAAUUUUAAAAUUUUAAUUUAUAUAAAUAUUUUGUUGGGGUGAUAAAAAAAUUAAAAUAACUUUUUUUAUAAUUUUACAUUAAUAAAUGAAUAAAUGAUCCGUAAUUUACGAUUAUAAGAUAAAAUUACCUUAGGGAUAACAGCGUAAUUUUUUUUUUUAGUUCAAAUAAGAAAAAAAGUUUGCGACCUCGAUGUUGGAUUAAGAUAAAAUUUAAAUGCAAAAGUUUAAAAUUUUUGAUCUG